rnacentral:tRNA from 1 species
GGGCAUUUAGCUCAGUGGUAGAGCGCUUGCCUAGCAAGCACAAGGCCCUGGGUUCGGUCCCCAGCUCCA